rnacentral:lncRNA from 1 species
GGAAGGCUGUGGGAUUGUGUCCCCAAGGGACCUCUCAGACAGAGGUCCUUAGCGUGCUACCAGGGUACCGCGCUGGCAGCCGGGCUUCCUGGGUCUCUGGGUGGCCGCCUGUGGAAGGGGAGGGGCAGUGAGCCACAGCUGGCGUGGCCUGACCGGUGGCUUCUCCCCCCAGUCUCAGUACAGUCUGACGAGAGCACAGCAGUCCUACAAGUCCUUGGUGCAGAUCCACGAAAAGAACGGUGAGGCCGGAGCCGGGCCCGGGGCUCUGGUGCUGGGCAACCCCAGGUUCUCACUCGGCCCGUAGCAAGGUCCCUCUGGGUUUCCGAGCCGUUCACCCACUCACCCACACCUGCCGGCUCUCCAGAGAAGGCCUGGAGGUGGUGUCGUGGGCAGUCUUGGUGCUGCCCUCUUCCUGACCACCCUUUGAAAGACUCUUCACCACCUCGGGUUGGGCUCUUCACUCUCCCUGUCCUUACAACCUCCAGGUAGGCAGCCUCCGCUUCCCUGUACCUCUCUUCUCGCACCUGGCAGCCUCCCUAGGACCUUCUUGCCUGGAGACGCUGCAGAUGUCCACGGUGACUGGGACAGGGAGGGCGCUCUGGGCCUGGACCUCGCUGACCUGGUGUGUUUCUUUGCAGGCUGGUACACACCCCCAAAGGAAGACGGCUAACCCUGGAGCGUCGCCCCUCCUCCUCCCCCAGGCACCACUGGACCAAUACCUUUGAAUGCUGUAUCUGGAUCUCACGCUGCCUCUGUGGUUCCCUCCCUCAUUUUUCCUGGACGUGAUAGCUCUGCCUAUUGCAGGACAAUGAUGGCUAUUCUAAACGCUAAGGAAAAAAAACAAAAAAACAAACAGAACUGUUUCAAGUACUCAAGACUGACUACAGACCAACAACCACCUUGCUGGAACCCUUGCUAGCAGGCAUUCUUAUAAAGAAACUCUCGAGCCUCCUUAUAUUGCUGGAAACUCAGCUGUGCUCCAGACUAGAGCCUCCUUACCUAUGCUAUGGAUUUUUAAUUUAUUUUCUCUUAUUUCAUGUACACUGCUUUUUUUGGUUACAGUGUAUGAUGGAUGUGUAUGAAAAAAAAAUGUAUCUUUGGGAAAACAAUUACAGUUUGUUAAUUUGAAGAUGCUGGUCUUGACUCAUCUUUAUUUUUAUUCCCACAUCCCACCCCACCCCCAUCCCCUGACUGCUUGGGAGGUGGGGGAGGGGUGCCAGGUCCACUGUGCUUUGGUAGCCAUGAGGCUGUGCUCCGCUAACCCAAGAAAUCUGGAGCUAAGCACCACCUGGCCCACCCCUAGGUUUCCCAAAGGCCCCUGCUGACUUACAGUGUAGCAGGCUGGUAUGAUGAACUUGAUUCUUAGGACUGCGUUUCACUUCUAGUUUCAGAGACUUUUCAAAUUUCUAAGAAAUAGAAAAUGUGGAGGCUCAAGAGGCUGCUUCAUAGAAAUCCUUUUAUGAGAACUGAGUGGGGCUGGGGCGCAGGCUCCUGCGUGUGUACGUGGUCUUUUCUAAUCACAGCCAUCCGCUGUCUAGCUACAACUCUGCAGUGUGCUUUGGCUCCUCUCCCUCCCAGAAAGUGGCUUCUGACUGGCCCUGGAUUGUGAUCAGUGGUAAGCUCUGCUCACCUUCCUCCUGUCUCCUGCUUCAUUUGGGGGUGUAGAAGAGAAAUGGCUCUUGAAGUAAGUUUGGCUGACUUGGAGAAUUGUGGACCCCUUCAAGUCAUUCUUGUAAGAUGCUGGUCCUACUAGAAACGGUUAGCUCUGAGGUGGGUUGUUGCAUGACCUGUGUCCUUACCCCAGGCGUGAGGAACUGCUGGGCCAGGAGGAAAGUGGGAGGAGUCUGUGGGGCUGGAGCAGGUGGUGCUGUGUUGUAUGUACUGCUGUUGUAAAAGUUUGGACAUGACUUUGCAUAUGGCGGGUGCUGCCUGUGUCUCCCUGUCAGGAAGCUUGCUUUGGGGCAGAGGCAGCUUUUGGGGGCUGACUGUGCCCACAGAGUGGGUAAAGAUUGAAAACAACAGAGGCCAGAAACAGCUAAGACAGACCCAAGUCUUAGGAAACCCAGAUCUGGGACGGCUGCCUGGGAACCUGUAGGAGGCCCGAGGAGCCCUGUGAUGCUUUAAGACACAGCAAUUUUAACUUGGCCAUUCUCCCCUCCCCCACCCCAUCCCGAGGGAUUCUAAUGUCUUGCUGCUUUAGGUGGAUGGAGAGUUCACCAAUCCCAUUCAAUGCUGCUCCAACUCUGCCCACACCCACCUGAUUAGGGGUGCUAAUACAUGCCGAGGUUGAGAUAAAGAGGGGACCUAAGGGGAAAAUUCAUUCCAUAGAGCUGAAAUCUGGUUUUCAAGGCCUCCGUGGCUUUCUUCUGAAUUUAUUACCAGCCCUGGCUGGAAUGUAGAUUGUGUUUUUAGUAAUGUGUACUGUGAGCUGUCCUCUGUAUAAUGUAUUUUGUAAUGUAUUUUUCUCAUCUACCAAAGGAUGAAACAAAUAAAAUUAUUUAAAUAGUUUGGCUCUAAUAAACUUAUUUAAAGACA